CACGAAUGUGCAACAAUUAGCUAAGGUCAAAAUUGUCGAGGAGCGUAGCUCAUCCUUAGUGAUACACAUUAUAUAUAAUCCCCAGUAAGGAGAAGACAGGUAUAACAGCAGACUGUAAAUGGAGGGUUUUAGUCGCUCUAAAAGUUUGGCAUGUCAUUAAAUUCUCUAAUUGUGGUUGUCCACGCCUAAUCUCCCUUGGAUAAAAACACUUACCUGCACAGCUCCUCCAUGAUCCCAGACUUAUAUAAUGUGAAACCGAUCAAAACCCUUUUUCCUUGGUUUCAGAUGUAUGCAAAUAUAUAGAGAGAGAGUUGGGGUAUUAUGAGGGCGUGUUUCAUCAGAAACGAGGGGGGUGGAAAGGGUGGGGGACUAGUGGAAGGUUAGAUGAGGAAGGCCAAAAAAAGACUGAAGGGAGAGGUGGGUUUUUCACCAGUAACGAGGGAAGAGAAGGGAAUAACCAUGAUGAUGAAGAUGAUCCUUUGAUUCUUCUAAAUAUGCCCUUCCCUUAUAGGGGAAUGAACCAUCCAAUCUUAAUUAUAUUUUUUAUCUGUCUUUUUUAGUCUGAAAAACACCCCUUAUCUUCCUCAGUCCUUCUACCUCCCUCUUUAAUUAAUGACGCCAUCUCACUCUCUCUCUUAUUUACUAUUCUUCCUUCAUUGCAUCUUAAAUAGGAGAACCCCAUCAGCAUCUACUCCACUCUCCUGUUUUCAUUUAUACACUCUUUUCUUUUCUUCUGUUCUCUUCUCUUCCUUUCUCUUCGUGUCUCAGUGGUGAAUACAAGGACAGUUAGUUUAUCAUUUUUAGUUUGCUUUCAUGGGGGUUUAGCAAAGGGCUUCUUACAGAGUUUAUUGGCAUUCUGUCCACCUCCCCAUCAUGGAAAAAGUCCGUAUUUUUCCCCUCUGGUUUUUCAUGGAGGUGGGCAUACUGCCAACUGUGCUCUGUUGGCUUCUCUUUGUAAAAUCCUUGUGAUGCAUUUCUUCCAGCUUUCGUCUCACUCUGAUGAACUUCCAGGUAACUUUACUACUUCAUACGAAAAGAAAUGGAAUGAAGAACAUUUUACCAUCUAUUUGGUACUUUCAUCAUGCUAGCUUCUGCUACUUGGAGGUUUUUGAUUAUCAGUAGUUAGAUAUGUACUGACUAGUCUACUGAGGUUUGAGGGUGCGUGCCACCAACUUGAGGCACUACCUUCUGUUUUCUUAUUUCUGUAACUGGUCUUAUUUUAAACCCCCUUUGAGUCUUUGACUGCUAAUUAAGAACCCUAACUAGGUUUUACAGAUUAAUUUUUCUCUACUUUCUCCUUUCCAAUCAUCAAUACUUGUUACAGUUGCAGAACUUCUAUGUGGGGUUCCAUAAUCCAUUUAGGGUUUUAUGAUUAGCUUCAUGUUUAUGCAGUCAAGGUCCAUGAAACCAUUUUUAAGUGUUGAAGGAUCGAUCCCUGAAUUUGAUAUCCAAUUCCAAGUAAAACCCCUUCGAAACAAAAGGGAAAGUGUGUGGAAAUUGCAUAUUUAUCCUUGAAAACAAAAAAAAACCCAAGGGCAGGAACAAGAAGAUUUUGUCAGAGUUGCAUGAGACCCAAAUGAUAAUUCCAUUGAAGGGUUUUGAAUUAGAAACUUUUAAAACUUAUUAUUUUGGUUUCUUGAGAGGUUUAUGAGCAAGUUAAUUAUCAGAUAUCAGAUUACACACUUAAAAGCAAAAAAGGAUUUUUAAUGUUCAUGGCCUCAUGCAUGAUUGCGCCACCAACUUCAAAAAUGUCAGUCAUUUAUUUACUUCGUUUAAAUAUUGUAUAUUUUUAAUUAAAUCAUACACGGUGCACUAAUGAAUCUGUAGGGCAGGGUCUCUUUUAUUUAGUGGCAGCUAGCCCUAGUACAGGUUGCAUUUUCUACACCCUCCUGAACACCUUAUACAUAGCCUCAUGAUUGAAAUACUGACAAACACCAUUAAACAAUUGUUAAAACGCAAACAAAAAAGGGUAGGUAAACAUCUAAUCACCUAAUUUAACUCCGGUGACUCCACAUCGAUUUUUUCACUCUGGUUCUAUAUAAUUGAGCUUGGUGAGAAGAAAAGUGACGAGGAUUGGUGGUGAGGAUGCAGAAGCAUGAGAAUGUACGUUAAUACAAUGCAGGAUUAAAAAUAAAAGAAUGAGAACCCAUGUGUUGGAUGGAUGUGAAGGGUUUGAGUUUUACUAGUUGCUAGGGAAAAAAGGAAAAGUGGGGUUUAGACGGAAAAUGGGUAACAUUAUCUUGAAUGUGAUAUAAGAUAUGUAUUCAUUAGGUCUAUACAGAGUAGGUUAUCAUGAGCUUUGAACGUGUACUAAUGGAGGAUAUUGGUGAAGUCAGAGGUAGCUACACUGCUGGGUCGGAGCAGGAAUUUUGGGUUUUGGGGUAAACAGAGUGGUGCUAGUGGACCAUUGUCUGCCUUGACUACUUAUUAUUUGGUGCAUACAUAGAGCGGGUUUGGGUCAAUGCGUGAGAGAAUUUUGGUCAAGAGUACGACUAGAUAAAAGAUGCUUAUGACUCAAUCAAUGGGGACCAUAUAUACUCUUACAUUUCAACUUGUUUUCCUUUUUUUACGUUAUAUGUUUUGUUGGGGCAAGUUCUGGUGAUGAGUCGGCCCUGCAACAAAGUUGUUUGAAGAGGUAUUUUGUUUGAUCGUCAGUUAUGUCGCGUCUUCUUCUGUUGGUUCCUUCUGGGCCCUCUAACCAGCUGCAAUAUACCCUUCAGUUCACUAUCGGAAUUUAUUUCAUUUCUUUACUAUCAUAAAAAAGGAUUGUUCACUUUAAAUAUUAUUCUUUUCUGAAUGGUAGUGUUAUGUGGCAAGGCAGCCAUGUGAAUGGUGGUUAAGAACAAAUAAUUCUCUUGAGAUGGUUUAGAAAUUUUAUAUUAGUGAAAAACGUUUUAAUGAAAUUGGAUUUAGUAUUUUAAUGAAAGAAAUCCACUUGACGUGAGUACAUGAUUA